UGAUGUAAAAUGUUCAAAGAGGUUAUUUCCGUCAUUUAGACUAAUAUUAUCUCCAAUUCGGAUCACAGGACCAAUUUUUCUCGACAUCACCUUUCCCAAAUUCUCGAAAUGAAUUUUAUUACAAGCAAAUGAAUCAUUCAAUCUCUUUGAAAAGCAAAUGAAUCAUUCAAUCUCUUUGAAAAAUCUUGAAUCAUGUUUCGAUGCUCGAUCAUUCUCUUCAUAAGUUUUUCCUAGAUCUGAAAUCUAUAAGACCAAUAAAAGUUCCUACAAAUUCAAAAAUCAUAUUCUUCUUAAAUUCAUGAUAAAAAUCAGUCACCCAUCACCUUUUAUCAUCUGAGAAUUAAUGUUUGCGCUAUUUAACAGAGGAAUUCUAUAUUUCAGAUGAAGAUAAUGCUGGAAUUUCAAAUGUUAGUCUCCCCAGAUGAUGUGUUUGUUAAUUAAUCUAAGUUAUUUCAAAUAUUUCAGAUGUUCUCAACCAAAAAAGCCAAGAAGUGGAGUUUGUGUUCCAUAACACAUCAUGUAAAGAAGUUGAGCAGCACAGACCCUCUUCUAUUCUUGGACAUGUUUUUUGUAAAUGACCUUCACGAUUAGUAGUUUUAACCAACGAUUAUUUCGGAUCAAAAUCGGGAAUUAGCGUACAAAAAAUCGUUGAUUAAUAGUAAGACCCUCCUAGCAAUAGUCUAGAAGUAAUGAAUAGUUGGCAAUGGCUUAAUGCAAGGUAUACAAUGGGACUAAGUUUAAAGCUAUAUUUACGAAUCAAAAAUAAACCUUAAUUAAUCAAUGUUGUCGCAAAAAUGAUAACAACCAAUUAACAAAUAGUUUGACAGUAGAUUAUAAUAGAACUUCCGGAAAGAAAAUGUUAGUUGUUUCAAGUUCUUCAGUCUUGUCUUCUAGAGGUACUGUUAUUCUAUUGGCAGCAGGGCUUCUUGAUAAUGCCACUUAAGGCUGGUCGUGGCUGAACACAGGUUUCUUCAAGUCUGUUCCAACAUACUUAACAAAUUGUCCUUGUGAUUUAUUAAUUGUCAUUGCAAAUGCUACCCUCACUGGAAAUUGACGUCUUGUCAUGUUUAUAUUCAAUUCUGAAACCGAUGGCUGAAAUGAUAUCCUUGGUAACAAUACCGUCUCUCUUGCUUUGUGAUCGGUUAGAAUUUUAGCCUGAAGUACAUGUCCACCGCAUUUAGUAACCAAUAAUCUGGUACCAUUGCAAAUACCCUCGGAUGGAGACAGAUUUCUCAUCAGGAUAAUUGGAUAUCCAAUUUUAAGAUUUAUCCGGAAUAAGGGCAUUCCUGGUGAAUUUAAAUUCUGUAAAAAUUCGUUGCUAUAAUUUGGGAUUAUGCCACUUUUGUCGGGAUUCAAUCUGUCUGCGGCUAAAUAAGUGAACGUCUCUCCAUCCAAAAUAUUCAAUGCUUCCAUCUUAAUAUCGUUAACAUCAUCAUUACAUGCUGAUAAAAUGAUUCUCUCGGUUAAUUCUUCAAGUGAUACUUGAUUAGAUGUCCCUAAAGAGGGGUACAAUUUAGAUAUCAACUCUUUCAUGUAUUUGCAUCUAUGUACCGAUGAAGGGAGUUCUACUUUUUCUUCUGCUUUUGAUCCGACCUAUCAUAAAUUUGUAUAACAUAUAAGCCAAGCAACAAGAUGGUAAUGGGGUGUAUACCUUCUCGCCUGGUGUGGACAUCUCUCGUGUUGUUGAUCGUAAACGUAACAAAUACCUCGCAUCUGUUCUAGCCAUGGUUAUUGCUUUGGUACCUUGGCUUUCACGACUUUGGGCGAGCUUGGUGUUUUCUUAAAAAAACUAAAUUUUUUUCUUACUAGACAUGAUUCAACUUCCAAAGUAGGCAAUUUUUUGUUUCACAGAAUAGGUGUAGCUAUUCAGAAGGGGGUUGGAGCCCAGGUUGUUGCUCUGCUUCCAACUAUUUUGUCUUCUGAGAUUACUUAAGUUCUAUUGUAAUUGGUUAAGUCUUUUUAACACAUAUAAUUAAAAAAAAAUUGAAUCUUUUUUUUUUAAAUUUUAAAAAGCAGUGUGAACAAAUAUUACCUCGGGUAAGAAUUCGGCGAAAGCUAUGUUUUCCGGAUCGCACCGAUCAAGACGCAUAUUCUUUGUAAGCGUCAAAACUAUAUCAUUCCAGAGUACAAAGCUUCUAACGCAUGAUCCAACAACAUCUGCACGGCCUCCAUUUGGUAUAACUGGUAAAGUUUGGCGGAAGUCUCCCCCUAUAACAACGGUAAUACCGCCAAAAGCAACUUAAAUAAUCAUCAAUAAAUAAUUUGAAGGAACCAUCAAAACAAAGCAGCCAUGCAGAAAUGGAGAAAACGUUGUCAGGGUAAUCAUGUUAUUUAAAGUAGAUUGCACCUUUUAAAGCAUUGGAUAAAUACUUGAUGAUGCAACAAUAAGAACUAUGCGCCAGUGAAUCGGCAGCUUGCAGCUACCGUAUUAUAUACGAAAGCUUUCCCCGUCCCUGCGCUUCCAUUUAAAAAAAAAGAAGGAGAUGUGCAAUUGUAUCAAAACCCUCACCGACAAGAUGGCAGAGAAGACUCAAGAGAAGGGGAAAGCCAAAGAAACAGUUGAUUAUGAAGUUGUGCUAGUCCACAUAGUUGAGGAUGAUGAAGCCCGCAAAGCUGUAGAAAACCUACCAACAAAGGAGCCUGCCGGUUUUAUCCUCGUGAAGAUCUGGAAUGCUUUAUGGAGGAUCGAGGGAAAGGAAAUGCACCGUCAGUCCAUCGUCAUCAACCUCCAUACCCUUCUGCUACGCAAAGAAUCCCUUUCCCAAAAGGCUACACUUCUCCAACAUUCACGUUGUACAAUGGGACAUGGAAUGCUCGAGAACAUAUCUCCCGGUUCUUGGAAGAGCUAGGCGAGCAUGAGCACAACCAUGUUGUCCGUCUGAAAGAAUUCUCAAAAUCUCUGACAUGACGAGCAUACACAUGGUACAACAACA